AACGAACGCUGGCGGCAGGCUUAACACAUGCAAGUCGAACGCUCGUGGCAACACGGGAGUGGCGGACGGGUGAGUAACGCGUGGGAACGUGCCCUGAGGUUGGGAAUAACUGCGGGAAACUGCAGCUAAUACCUGAUGAGCCCCGAGAGGGGGAAAGAUUUUAUCGCCUUGGGAGCGGCCCGCGUCGGAUUAGCUAGUUGGUGGGGUAACGGCCUACCAAGGCUUCGAUCCGUAGCUGGUCUGAGAGGACGAUCAGCCACACUGGGACUGAGACACGGCCCAGACUCCUACGGGAGGCAGCAGUGGGGAAUCUUGCGCAAUGGGGGCAACCCUGACGCAGCCAUGCCGCGUGAAUGAUGAAGGCCUUAGGGUUGUAAAGUUCUUUUGCCCGUGACGAUGAUGACGGUAACGGGAGAAUAAGCUCCGGCUAACUUCGUGCCAGCAGCCGCGGUAAU
rnacentral:rRNA from 1 species